rnacentral:tRNA from 1 species
GUGAGUGUAGCUCAGGUGGUUAGAGCACCUGGUUGUGGCCCAGGAGGUCGGGGGUUCAAGUCCCCUCACUCACCCCA